rnacentral:pre_miRNA from 1 species
CAUAUAUUUCCUCUGUUCAAUAAAAAAUGUCUUAAGUUUGUUAAAAUUUGAAUGUAUUUAGACAUUACUUAGUGCAUAGAUGCAUUCAAAUUUGGUUAAAGUUGAGACAUUUUUUGUUGGACGAAGGGAGUAUGUG